CGCUGGAACUGGGGGUGGUUUGCACACCCCAGUGGGUGAGUGGGAGGGAUUUGUGGUGAGGCCUGCAGGGGCUGGAGCAGUCAAUGUCCCAGGAACUUCUAGGACAAAGUCCCGCACUGAGGAGAAACUGCUGGGGACAGGAUCCCAAAGGAAGCGGUGCAGGUACAGGAGACACAAAGGAAAGCGAAGGUCCAGUCAGAGGGAACAGAGCCAGGACUUUGAAGGAAGUGACUGACAGAUGCAUGCACGACUCUGUCCCUGCGGUUGGCAAACUCAAAACAGAGCUGGGAGAGCAGAGAAUCUUCUGAGAGGGUCUGGCUUGAAUGGAGAGCACAUGGAAAGUACACGGUUUGGUCUAUGCCAGCGAUGCAGGGAAAAUGCCACAUCCCCA